CUUGCAAUCCAAUUACAUAGUAAUUCUUGGAAUACCAAGGCGAAUUUACAAUAAUAUAGACUUUAAAGUCCUUAAAUAAAUGAAAUUACAAUCCAAAUUAUUACAACACUUAUAAUACAUGCCACCAAAAAUAAAAUUAAUUAUUUUACAACCCAAAGAAAAAUAAAAGAAAUAAAUUCAAUCACAUUGGUCUUUUAUAGUC
rnacentral:misc_RNA from 1 species